GCGUAAAGAGCUCGUAGGUGGUUUGUCGCGUUGUUCGUGAAAUCUCACGGCUUAACUGUGAGCGUGCGGGCGAUACGGGCAGACUUGAGUACUGCAGGGGAGACUGGAAUUCCUGGUGUAGCGGUGGAAUGCGCAGAUAUCAGGAGGAGCACCGGUGGCGAAGGCGGGUCUCUGGGCAGUAACUGACGCUGAGGAGCGAAAGCGUGGGGAGCGAACAGGAUUAGAUACCCUGGUAGUCCACGCCGUAAACGGUGGGUACUAGGUGUGGGUUUCCUUCCUUGGGAUCCGUGCCGUAGCUAACGCAUUAAGUACCCCGCCUGGGGAGUACGGCUGCAAGGCUAAAACUCAAAGAAAUUGACGGGGGCCCGCACAAGCGGCGGAGCAUGUGGAUUAAUUCGAUGCAACGCGAAGAACCUUACCUGGGUUUGACAUGCACAGGACGCCGGCAGAGAUGUCGGUUCCCUUGUGGCCUGUGUGCAGGUGGUGCAUGGCUGUCGUCAGCUCGUGUCGUGAGAUGUUGGGUUAAGUCCCGCAACGAGCGCAACCCUUGUCUCAUGUUGCCAGCGGGUAAUGCCGGGGACUCGUGAGAGACUGCCGGGGUCAACUCGGAGGAAGGUGGGGAUGACGUCAAGUCAUCAUGCCCCUUAUGUCCAGGGCUUCACACAUGCUACAAUGGCCGGUACAAAGGGCUGCGAUGCCGCGAGGUUAAGCGAAUCCUUUUAAAGCCGGUCUCAGUUCGGAUCGGGGUCUGCAACUCGACCCCGUGAAGUCGGAGUCGCUAGUAAUCGCAGAUCAGC
rnacentral:rRNA from 1 species